UACGUAGGUGACAAGCGUUGUCCGGAUUUACUGGGCGUAAAGAGCGCGCAGGCGGUCGAUCAAGUCGAGUGUGAAAGCCCCCGGCUCAACUGGGGAGGGUCAUUCGAUACUGAUCGACUCGAAGGCAGGAGAGGGUAGUGGAAUUCCCGGUGUAGUGGUGAAAUGCGUAGAUAUCGGGAGGAACACCAGUGGCGAAGGCGACUACCUGGCCUGUUCUUGACGCUGAGGCGCGAAAGCUAGGGAGCAAAGCGGGG
rnacentral:rRNA from 1 species